AGUGAACGCUGGCGGCAGGCCUAACACAUGCAAGUCGAACGGCAGCACCGUAAGUGCUUGCGCAUACGGGUGGGGAGUGGCGGACGGGGGCGAUAUACAUCGGAAUCUACUUUUUAGUGGGGGCUAACGCGGGGAAAAUUACGCUAAUCCCGCAUACGACGAACGGGUGAGAGCAGGGGAUCUUUGGACAUUGCGCGAGUGAAUGAGCCGAUGUCGGAUUGGCUAGGUGGAGGGGUAAAGGCGCAACGAGGCGACGAUCCGUAGCUGGUCUGAGCGGAUGAUCAGCCACACUGGAACUGAGACACGGUCCAGACUCCUACGGGAGGCAGCAGUGGGGAAUAUUGGACAAUGGGCGCAAGCCUGAUCCAGCCAUACCGCGUGUGUGAAGAAGGCCUUCGGAUUGUAAAGCCCUUUUGUUGGGAAAGAAGAGCAGCAGGUUAAUACCCCGCUGUUCUGACGGUACCCAAAGAAUAAGCACCGGCUAACUUCGUG
rnacentral:rRNA from 1 species